rnacentral:tRNA from 1 species
GGCCGGUUAGCUCAGUCAGUUGAGCGUAGCGCUAACAACGCUAAGGUGGCAGGUUCGAUUCCCAUUUGGUCC